rnacentral:rRNA from 1 species
GACGAACGCUGGCGGCGUGCUUAACACAUGCGAGUCGAACGGAAAGGCCCUUCGGGGUACUCGAGUGGCGAACGGGUGAGUAACACGUGGGUGAUCUGCCCUGCACUUUGGGAUAAGCCUGGGAAACUGGGGCUAAUACCGAAUAGGACCACGCGCUGCAUUGCGUGUGGUGGAAAGCUUUUGCGGUGUGGGCUGGGCCCGCGGCCGACCAGCUCGUUGGUGGGGUAAUGGCCUACCAAGGCGACGACGGGUAGCCGGCCGGAGAGGGUGACCGGCCACACUGGGACUGAGAUACGGCCCAGACUCCUACGGGAGGCAGCAGUGGGGAAUAUUGCACAAUGGGCGCAAGCCUGAUGCAGCGACGCCGCGUGAGGGAUGACGGCCUUCGGGUUGUAAACCUCUUUCAAUAGGGACGAAGCGCAAGUGACGGUACCUAUAGAAGAAGCACCGGCCAACUACGUG